UCAAGUAAUUAAGUGCAUGUGGUGGAUGCCUUGGCAGUCAGAGGCGAUGAAAGACGUGAUAGCCUGCGAAAAGCUCCGGGGAGGCGGCAAAUAUCCUUUGAUCCGGAGAUGUCUGAAUGGGGGAACCCACCUACUUUAAGGUAGGUAUUGCAACAUGAAUACAUAGUGUUGCAAGGCGAACGAGGGGAAGUGAAACAUCUCAGUACCCUUAGGAAAAGAAAUCAAUUGAGAUUCCCUCAGUAGCGGCGAGCGAACGGGGAUCAGCCCAUUAAGUUAUGUGUGUUUUAGUGGAACGCUCUGGGAAGUGCGAACGUAGAGGGUGAUAUUCCCGUACACGAAAGGGCACACAUAAUGAUGACGAGUAGGGCGAGGCACGUGAAACCUUGUCUGAAUAUGGGGGGACCAUCCUCCAAGGCUAAAUACUCCUGACUGACCGAUAGUGAACCAGUACCGUGAGGGAAAGGCGAAAAGAACCCCUGUGAGGGGAGUGAAAUAGAUCCUGAAACCGCAUGCAUACAAGCAGUGGGAGCACCUUUGUGGUGUGACUGCGUACCUUUUGUAUAAUGGGUCAGCGACUUAUAUUCAGUAGCGAGGUUAACCGUAUAGGGGAGCCGUAGAGAAAUCGAGUCUUAAUAGGGCGUUUAGUUGCUGGGUAUAGACCCGAAACCAGGCGAUCUAUCCAUGAGCAGGUUGAAGGUUGGGUAACACUAACUGGAGGACCGAACCCACUGUCGUUGAAAAGCCAGGGGAUGACUUGUGGAUAGGGGUGAAAGGCUAAUCAAGCCUGGUGAUAGCUGGUUCUCCCCGAAAGCUAUUUAGGUAGCGCCUCGGACGAAUACCAUAGGGGGUAGAGCACUGUUUCGGCUAGGGGGUCAUCCCGACUUACCAAACCGAUGCAAACUCCGAAUACCUAUGAGUACUAUCCGGGAGACAGACUGCGGGUGCUAACGUCCGUAGUCAAGAGGAAAACAAUCCAGACCGCCAGCUAAGGCCCCAAAAUCAUAGUUAAGUGGGAAACGAUGUGGGAAGGCAUAGACAGCUAGGAGGUUGGCUUAGAAGCAGCCACCCUUUAAAGAAAGCGUAAUAGCUCACUAGUCGAGUCGGCCUGCGCGGAAGAUGUAACGGGGCUAAAACUAUGUGCCGAAGCUGCGGAUGUAUACUUUGUAUACGUGGUAGGGGAGCGUUCUGUAAGCCGAUGAAGGUGUGUUGAGAAGCAUGCUGGAGGUAUCAGAAGUGCGAAUGCUGACGUGAGUAACGACAAAACGGGUGAAAAACCCGUUCGCCGAAAGACCAAGGGUUCCAGUCCAACGUUAAUCGGGGCUGGGUGAGUCGACCCCUAAGGCGAGGCCGAAAGGCGUAGUCGAUGGGAAAAUGGUUAAUAUUCCAUUACUUCUGUGUAAUGCGAUGAGAGGACGGAGAAGGCUAAAUCAGCCUGGCGUUGGUUGUCCAGGUGAAAGGAUGUAGGCAUGUAUCUUAGGCAAAUCCGGGGUACUCUAUGCUGAGAUCUGAUAGCAAGCUGUACUUGUACAGCGAAGUGGUUGAUGCCAUGCUUCCAGGAAAAGUCUCUAAGCUUCAGUUACACAGGAAUCGUACCCGAAACCGACACAGGUGGUCAGGUCGAGUAGACCAAGGCGCUUGAGAGAACUCUGCUGAAGGAACUAGGCAAAAUGGUACCGUAACUUCGGGAGAAGGUACGCUGUUGUUGGUGAUGGAACUCGCUUCCUGAGCUGACGACAGCCGCAGAAACCAGGCCGCUGCAACUGUUUAUUAAAAACAUAGCACUCUGCAAACACGAAAGUGGACGUAUAGGGUGUGAUGCCUGCCCGGUGCUGGAAGGUUAAUUGAUGGGGUUAGCGUAAGCGAAGCUCUUGAUCGAAGCCCCAGUAAACGGCGGCCGUAACUAUAACGGUCCUAAGGUAGCGAAAUUCCUUGUCGGGUAAGUUCCGACCUGCACGAAUGGCAUAAUGAUGGCGGCGCUGUCUCCAGCAGAGGCUCAGUGAAAUCGAAAUCGCUGUGAAGAUGCAGUGUACCCGCGGCUAGACGGAAAGACCCCGUGAACCUUUACUGCAGCUUGACACUGAACUUUGACCUUACUUGUGUAGGAUAGGUGGGAGGCUUUGAAGCUGGAACGCUAGUUCCAGUGGAGCCGUCCUUGAAAUACCACCCUGGUAAUGUUGAGGUUCUAACUCUGUCCCGUGAUCCGGGACGAGGACCGUGUCUGGUGGGUAGUUUGACUGGGGCGGUCUCCUCCUAAAGAGUAACGGAGGAGUACGAAGGUGCGCUCAGCGUGGUCGGAAAUCACGCGUAGAGUAUAAAGGCAAAAGCGCGCUUAACUGCGAGACCCACAAGUCGAGCAGGUACGAAAGUAGGUCUUAGUGAUCCGGUGGUUCUGUAUGGAAGGGCCAUCGCUCAACGGAUAAAAGGUACUCUGGGGAUAACAGGCUGAUACCGCCCAAGAGUUCAUAUCGACGGCGGUGUUUGGCACCUCGAUGUCGGCUCAUCUCAUCCUGGGGCUGAAGCAGGUCCCAAGGGUAUGGCUGUUCGCCAUUUAAAGAGGUACGCGAGCUGGGUUUAGAACGUCGUGAGACAGUUCGGUCCCUAUCUACCGUGGGCGCUGGAAAUUUGAGAGGAUCUGCUCCUAGUACGAGAGGACCAGAGUGGACGAACCUCUGGUGUACCGGUUGUGACGCCAGUCGCAUCGCCGGGUAGCUAUGUUCGGAAGGGAUAACCGCUGAAAGCAUCUAAGCGGGAAGCCUACCUCAAGAUAAGAUUUCCCUAGGACUUUAUGUCCUCUAAAGAGCCGUUCGAGACUAGGACGUUGAUAGGUUGGAUGUGGAAGCAUAGUGAUAUGUGAAGCUGACCAAUACUAAUUGCUCGUGAGGCUUGACUAU
rnacentral:rRNA from 3 species